rnacentral:rRNA from 1 species
UACGUAGGGUGCAAGCGUUGUCCGGAAUUAUUGGGCGUAAAGAGCUCGUAGGCGGUCUGUCGCGUCGAAUGUGAAAGCCCGGGGCUCAACCCCGGGCCUGCAUUCGAUACGGGCAGACUAGAGUUCGGUAGGGGAGUCUGGAAUUCCUGGUGUAGCGGUGAAAUGCGCAGAUAUCAGGAGGAACACCGGUGGCGAAGGCGGGACUCUGGGCCGAUACUGACGCUGAGGAGCGAAAGCGUGGGGAGCAAACAGG